GAAAAUUGUCGGCUCUUAUAAAGCUGAAUGUUGCCAAUAAAUUCUUUAGUUCAUUUCUCAAGAUAGCUCAUCAACAAUCAUGAGAGUUCGGACCGUUCUAUUCAUUUCACUAGUUCUUUGCUCUCUAAUGAGCCUAAGUGCAUCGAGAUCGGUUGUGGAACAUGACCAGACCAUGAACAUACCGGUACUCGUGGACCAUGAACAUGAAAAUACUCGAGAGCAUAGGUGUGAUAACAGACAUGGUGUUUGGUGGGGUUUUUUUGUACGGUAGAAACAGACAGUAGCGUAGCGCAUCAUAUGUUUUGAAACAUUAAAAGAUAGCCUACUCAAUAAAUUGUCAACUUAUUAUUCUCA